GGCCAGAUAGCUCAGUUGGUAGAGCGUUCGACUGAAAAUCGAAAGGUCCGCGGUUCGAACCCGCGUCUGGCCACCA
rnacentral:tRNA from 1 species